rnacentral:rRNA from 1 species
UACGGAGGAUGCAAGCGUUAUCCGGAAUGAUUGGGCGUAAAGCGUCCGCAGGUGGCGAUGUAAGUCUGCUGUUAAAGAGUGAGGCUCAACCUCAUAAGAGCAGUGGAAACUACAUAGCUAGAGUACGUUCGGGGCAGAGGGAAUUCCUGGUGUAGCGGUGAAAUGCGUAGAGAUCAGGAAGAACACCAGUGGCGAAGGCGCUCUGCUAGGCUGUAACUGACACUGAGGGACGAAAGCUAGGGGAGCGAAUGGG